UAUUUAUGCUCACGCACGUAUUUUUGAUCUAGCAGGAUUUCCUUCCACGACGAGGAGUGUAAUUUAUGCCAUCAUUCAGAUAAGAUACAGAAAGUUCAAAAGAGGCUAUUAGUAUAUGAAGCUUAUUAUGUAUGGGGUAAAAAGUGAAGGCAAAUGGUAAAAAGUGAAAUCGAAUUUAACCCCCCCUUGAUUGAUGCUUCUUUCUCCAUUUCUUCUAUAUAAUGCCAAAUUAAUCUGCUACAAACCUGAAAAGCUUCUCCUGUUAGAAUCAUCAGUGAAUCUCUCUACUCUCUGCCACUCUAGAAAGACAUUGUAUUAGCAAAUUACUGUUAGGUUAGUUAAGUACUGCAAUUGCAUACUAAUACUAUUGUUUUGUUUUAAGAGUAACAGAAUGAUGAAUCAUGGAUUUUAAUUGAAGUUUAUUUUCAUUUUAGUCCUUGCUUACUUGGACUAUGUUUUUGGAACAUAUGGUCAAUUAGUCAAUAAAAAAUAAAUGAUUUUGUGACUUGAGAUAAUGUUAGAGACAAUUUUGACUAACGGAAUGUUGAAUCAGGUACUUCAAAUGUUUUUUGCGUAUUCAGAAACGGUUAUGACAACGAGUGACACUUUUCAGGAUAAAAAUGACUGUUUUCACUUUGGAGAGAGUAUUUAUUGGGUCAAUCCUACCAUUAAUUUUCUGAAUUGGAGCAAUUAAUCAAAGGGUAGCAAGGUAAUUUGAAGAUUAUAACACAAAAAAACAAAAUGAUCUUCCCAAAGGUAGGAGGGUAGAUUUUGUUUCACACACACGCACUGGCCAAUAGCCAUGUCAGUCAAUCACUAUUCACUAACAAUCCAAAGUCAGUUUAACAAUUUCCCAAAAAUAAGCAAACAACACACAUUUACACUGUGUUAAUCCUAUUUUCAUUGGUGAAUAAGCCAUAGAACCAGAUAAUUGUCUCGCCCAAAGGAAACAUCCCUAAACUUUUAUCUAACACAUUUAUUUCAAACUCUUGUUUUUAUUUUUCACAUCAAAUAAUUUCAACCACUAUAUGCAUGCUACCUCACCAUUCUCCCAUUCCUCUCUCAAACACAAACUCCUUCAUCAUGUCUAUAUUCAAAGUUGCAAUCACUGUCUCUUUCAUUCUUUCUCUCAUUGUUCUACUCCCCAAAUCAGGGGGAAGUGUGUUGUGUGAUAAGAAUGAUUUGGAGGAAAGGAAAGUGGUGAUAGGGUCAAAACCACCAUUAUGUGUAAACAAAUGCAAGAAGUGUAGGCCAUGCAUGGCUACUGUGGUUGUUAAUGAUCAUGAUCAUCAAAGGCAAAAGCAAAAGAAGAAGGAUUUCAAAUUUGUUUCCUCUGAUCAUGAGGAAGAUAGCUAUUAUCUCCUUUCAUGGAAAUGCAGAUGUGGUAAUAAGUUUUUUCAACCAUGAUUUAAAUUCUAUCCAAACUACACAGUUGGAUCAUGAUCUAUUAUUUCUUUCUCGGUUAUGGAAGGGGGGUUAACUUGUACUCUAUGAUCUGAUGUAGAUAUACAUGUUAAUUAGGUUACUUAGCUUAUAA